GGGCGGUAGCUCACCUGGAGAGAGCGCCGGCAUGUACGGAGGGUCCGGUUCGAGUCCGGAACGCCCACCA
rnacentral:tRNA from 1 species